UACGUAGGGUGCAAGCGUUAAUCGGAAUUACUGGGCGUAAAGCGUGCGCAGGCGGUUUUGUAAGUUUGUCGUGAAAGCCCCGGGCUCAACCUGGGAAUUGCGAUGAAGACUGCAAGGCUUGAAUCUGGCAGAGGGGGGUAGAAUUCCACGUGUAGCAGUGAAAUGCGUAGAGAUGUGGAGGAACACCGAUGGCGAAGGCAGCCCCCUGGGUCAAGAUUGACGCUCAUGCACGAAAGCGUGGGGAGCAAACAGGG
rnacentral:rRNA from 1 species